GGUGAGUAACACGUGGAUAACCUACCUAUAAGACUGGGAUAACUUCGGCGAAACCGGGAGCUAAUACCGGAUAAUAUUUUGAACCGCAUGGUUCAAAAGUGAAAGACGGUCUUGCUGUCACUUAUAGAUGGAUCCGCGCUGCAUUAGCUAGUUGGUAAGGUAACGGCUUACCAAGGCAACGAUGCAUAGCCGACCUGAGAGGGUGAUCGGCCACACUGGAACUGAGACACGGUCCAGACUCCUACGGGAGGCAGCAGUAGGGAAUCUUCCGCAAUGGGCGAAAGCCUGACGGAGCAACGCCGCGUGAGUGAUGAAGGUCUUCGGAUCGUAAAACUCUGUUAUUAGGGAAGAACAUAUGUGUAAGUAACUGUGCACAUCUUGACGGUACCUAAUCAGAAAGCCACGGCUAACUACGUGCCAGCAGCCGCGGUAAUACGUAGGUGGCAAGCGUUAUCCGGAAUUAUUGGGCGUAAAGCGCGCGUAGGCGGUUUUUUAAGUCUGAUGUGAAAGCCCACGGCUCAACCGUGGAGGGUCAUUGGAAACUGGAAAACUUGAGUGCAGAAGAGGAAAGUGGAAUUCCAUGUGUAGCGGUGAAAUGCGCAGAGAUAUGGAGGAACACCAGUGGCGAAGGCGACUUUCUGGUCUGUAACUGACGCUGAUGUGCGAAAGCGUGGGGAUCAAACAGGAUUAGAUACCCUGGUAGUCCACGCCGUAAACGAUGAGUGCUAAGUGUUAGGGGGUUUCCGCCCCUUAGUGCUGCAGCUAACGCAUUAAGCACUCCGCCUGGGGAGUACGACCGCAAGGUUGAAACUCAAAGGAAUUGACGGGGACCCGCACAAGCGGUGGAGCAUGUGGUUUAAUUCGAAGCAACGCGAAGAACCUUACCAAAUCUUGACAUCCUUUGACAACUCUAGAGAUAGAGCUUUCCCCUUCGGGGGACAAAGUGACAGGUGGUGCAUGGUUGUCGUCAGCUCGUGUCGUGAGAUGUUGGGUUAAGUCCCGCAACGAGCGCAACCCUUAAGCUUAGUUGCCAUCAUUAAGUUGGGCACUCUAAGUUGACUGCCGGUGACAAACCGGAGGAAGGUGGGGAUGACGUCAAAUCAUCAUGCCCCUUAUGAUUUGGGCUACACACGUGCUACAAUGGACAAUACAAAGGGCAGCGAAACCGCGAGGUCAAGCAAAUCCCAUAAAGUUGUUCUCAGUUCGGAUUGUAGUCUGCAACUCGACUACAUGAAGCUGGAAUCGCUAGUAAUCGUAGAUCAGCAUGCUACGGUGAAUACGUUCCCGGGUCUUGUACACACCGCCCGUCACACCACGAGAGUUUGUAACACCCGAAGCCGGUGGAGUAACCUUUUAGG
rnacentral:rRNA from 1 species